rnacentral:rRNA from 1 species
UACGAAGGGGGCUAGCGUUGUUCGGAAUUACUGGGCGUAAAGGGCGCGUAGGCGGCCUUGAUAGUUGGGCGUGAAAGGCCUGGGCUUAACCCAGGAACUGCGUUCAAUACUGCGAGGCUAGAGUGUGGGAGAGGUUGGUGGAAUUCCCAGUGUAGAGGUGAAAUUCGUAGAUAUUGGGAAGAACACCGGUGGCGAAGGCGGCCAACUGGACCAACACUGACGCUCAUGCACGAAAGCGUGGGGAGCAAACAGG